UAGUUAUUGCGGAUAUUCCUCUCUGUGCUGCCAUUGGGCACAGUCCCAAACCGGAAAGGUGGGGAGAAGUCAUUAGGUCUCUGGAACUAGAGAGGAAGAGAAU
ensembl:miRNA